UCCGUUGGUGAACCAGCGGAGGGAUCAUUACUGAGUUUACGCUCUACAACCCUUUGUGAACAUACCUAUAACUGUUGCUUCGGCGGGUAGGGUCUCCGCGACCCUCCCGGCCUCCCGCCUCCGGGCGGGUCGGCGCCCGCCGGAGGAUAACCAAACUCUGAUUUAACGACGUUUCUUCUGAGUGGUACAAGCAAAUAAUCAAAACUUUUAACAACGGAUCUCUUGGUUCUGGCAUCGAUGAAGAACGCAGCGAAAUGCGAUAAGUAAUGUGAAUUGCAGAAUUCAGUGAAUCAUCGAAUCUUUGAACGCACAUUGCGCCCGCCAGCAUUCUGGCGGGCAUGCCUGUUCGAGCGUCAUUUCAACCCUCAAGCUCUGCUUGGUGUUGGGGCCCUACAGCUGAUGUAGGCCCUCAAAGGUAGUGGCGGACCCUCUCGGAGCCUCCUUUGCGUAGUAACUUUACGUCUCGCACUGGGAUCCGGAGGGACUCUUGCCGUAAAACCCCCAAUUUUCCAAAGGUUGACCUCGGAUCAGGUAGGAAUACCCGCUGAACUUA
rnacentral:rRNA from 4 species